rnacentral:lncRNA from 10 species
GCAGGAUGCCCUUCCCAGCUUUGUCCAGUGAGUCACAUGACCCCUGAGGUAUAUAACUCAUAGUGGGCUGCCUUUUGGGGCCCCUCACUUGUGGUGCACAUGGGGCAUGUACGGGCAACACUCAAUCCUGCCCAGGAAGCUUCCUUGAGCCUUGAGGGCUGCCUCACAAUGGAUCCUAGGCUUCUUUUUUCCCUUGCUGCUUGCCUAAAUGUAAAUUAAAUGCUCUCAAGGGAUGAGAGACACUGGAAGCUGGGACGCUCUUGGAACUCUGUUGCCAUCAUCAAGGCUUCCAGAUACAGCCCUCUAGGUCAUCCAGAGGUGCCAGCCAGCCCUCACCAGUGGUCAGCUUUUCCUCAGUGGAGUGGUAGGUGAGCCAGUGGAGCUUGCUCUGAAGAUACUAGAGGGAGCCAAAGCUGUCUGGCCCUUCAGUGUGACUCAGUUUCCAGACUCUUUCUCUUUAGACAUAAAUGAAGAACAAGUCAACCUUGAUGCCUUUGAGGGUUGGUUCAGCGGAUGAUGUGUUGUGGGGUUUUCCCACAGGUCAGCAGUCCAACUACCAGGGCCAGAGCCCCAUCAAAGAAUCUUCAGUGCCAGCCAGAAAGAAUGAUGAACUCCUCGUGUAAAGGGAGUUUGGGGCAACCAGUCAAACCAUGGCCUCAUGGGAAGCAGCUGACUAGGCAAUGAGAGAGGAAUACAAAAGACAAGGCACUGCGAAGCCAAGUCUGGUUGGGGAGAAGAAACCAAUAUGCCUGAAACAGGGAACCAGAAAGGACUCAGACAAAACUGCUGACAAGUAUGGGGUUUCUUGGGGUAGGUGGUGAAAAUAUUCCAAAAUAAGAUUAUAGCGAUGUUUUAAUAAUCCCCUGGAUAUAAUAAAAAAACAUCGAAUUGUACACUUCAAAUGAGUGAACUGUGUGGUAUGUGAAUUAUAUAUCUCAAUAAAGAUGUUUUAAAA